AGUAAUGUGUAAGAACCUAUCCUUGGGAGGAGAACAAUAGUUAAAAACCGUAGGCAGACUGAGGAGCAAAAGGAGGAAUAUGCUAGAGGAGGGACUCGUACUUGAUUAGCUAGUUGGUGAGACAAUAACCUACCAAGGCGAUCAUCAGUAGCUAGUUUGAGAGGAUGAUCAGA
rfam:Glycine soja cultivar W05 scaffold3263_10, whole genome shotgun sequence.